AACACCAACAAGGUGAUAAACGCCCACUUUUGCUCUGGAGAGACCGAAGUCUCUCUUGAAAAACCAGCUCAGUCCAUCUGUUAGACAGCUGGUGGCAGUGUUGAGUCGUUCUUCUGUAUUUUGGCAGGGUUUCACAGCUUAAAUCGAUUCUAUCGCCAGCCGAGGUUGCACAAGCUGUUUGGACUCUCAUUCCAACGGCACCUAUUCACUGCAGGGAAUCCAUUACUUAGAAAGGAUGCAAUGCAGAACUUCCCCAUGUAGAAACAAACUCAUCAACAUCUCUGAUGGCCUGGGGGACAGCCCCAAGAAUGGUUAACUUCCAGGCUGAUGUUCUUACUCAACUACUAAACCAAGAAGAGGAGAUGUAAC